AUGCCUCGGAGGUCGACCAUGGAAGCCAUUUUCUUGGUACGACAACUUAUGGAGAGAUAUAGGGAGCAUAAGAAGGACUUGCAUAUGGUGUUCAUUGACUUGGAGAAGGCCUAUGAUAAGAUACCGCGGAAUGUCAUGUGGUGGGCCUUGGAGAAACACAAAGUCCCAGCAAAGUACAUUACCCUCAUCAAGGACAUGUACAAUAAUGUUGUGACAAGUGUUCGAACAAGUGAUGUCGACACCGAUGACUUCCCGAUUAAGAUAGGACUGCAUCAGGGGUCAGCUUUGAGCCCUUAUCUUUUUGCAUUGGUGAUGGAUGAGGUCACAAGGGGUAUACAAGGAGAUAUCCCAUGGUGUAUGCUCUUUGCGGAUGAUGUGGUGCUAGUUGACGAUAGUCCGACGGGGGUAAAUAGGAAGUUAGAGUUAUGGAGACAAACCUUGGAAUCGAAAGGGUUUAGGCUUAGUAGAACUAAAACCGAGUACAUGAUGUGCGGUUUCAGUACUACUAGC
rnacentral:rRNA from 1 species